GCCUCCAUAGCUCAGGGGCAGAGCACUAGUCUCGUAAACUAGGGGUCGUGAGUUCGAUUCUCACUGGGGGCA
rnacentral:tRNA from 1 species